GAAGGGGGCUAGCGUUGUUCGGAUUUACUGGGCGUAAAGCGCGUGUAGGCGGGCCGUUAAGUUGGGGGUGAAAGCCCGAGGCUCAACCUCGGAACUGCCUUCAAAACUGGCGGCCUGGAGCAAGAUAGAGGCGAGUGGAAUUCCGAGUGUAGAGGUGAAAUUCGUAGAUAUUCGGAGGAACACCAGUGGCGAAGGCGACUCGCUGGAUCUUUGCUGACGCUGAGACGCAAAAGCGUGGGGAGCAAACAGGAUUAGAUACCCUGGUAGUCCACGCUGUAAACGAUGAGAGCUAGUUGUCGGCACGCAUGCGUGUCGGUGACGCAGCUAACGCAUUAAGCUCUCCGCCUGGGGAGUACGGCCGCAAGGUUA
rnacentral:rRNA from 1 species